rnacentral:rRNA from 1 species
UACGUAGGUGGCAAGCGUUGUCCGGAUUUACUGGGCGUAAAGGAUGCGUAGGCGGAUGUUUAAGUGAGAUGUGAAAUACCCGAGCUCAACUUGGGUGCUGCAUUUCAAACUGGAUAUCUAGAGUCCGGAAGAGGAGAGUGGAAUUCCCGGUGUAGCGGUGAAAUGCGCAGAUAUCGGGAAGAACACCCGUGGCUAAGGCGGCUCUCUAGUACGGUACUGACGCUGAGACGCGAAAAGCGUGGGGGA